AACCAUAGAAACCUGCGGAGUACCUGCGGAGGGAUCAUUACAAGUGACCCCGGUCUAACCACCGGGAUGUUCAUAACCCUUUGUUGUCCGACUCUGUUGCCUCCGGGGCGACCCUGCCUUCGGGCGGGGGCUCCGGGUGGACACUUCAAACUCUUGCGUAACUUUGCAGUCUGAGUAAACUUAAUUAAUAAAUUAAAACUUUUAACAACGGAUCU
rnacentral:misc_RNA from 1 species